rnacentral:rRNA from 1 species
AUUGAACGCUGGCGGCAUGCCUUACUCAUGCAAGUCGAACGGCAGCGGGGGAGAAGCUUGCUUUUCCUGCCGGCGAGUGGCGAACGGGUGAGUAAUACAUCGGAACGUGCCCUGUAGUGGGGGAUAACUAGUCGAAAGAUUAGCUAAUACCGCAUACGACCUGAGGGUGAAAGUGGGGGACCGCAAGGCCUCAUGCUAUAGGAGCGGCCGAUGUCUGAUUAGCUAGUUGGUGGGGUAAAGGCCUACCAAGGCGACGAUCAGUAGCUGGUCUGAGAGGACGAUCAGCCACACUGGGACUGAGCCACGGCCCAGACUCCUACGGGAGGCAGCAGUGGGGAAUUUUGGACAAUGGGCGAAAGCCUGAUCCAGCAAUGCCGCGUGUGUGAAGAAGGCCUUCGGGUUGUAAAGCACUUUUGUCCGGAAAGAAAUGGCUCUGGUUAAUACCUGGGGUCGAUGACGGUACCGGAAGAAUAAGGACCGGCUAACUACGUGCCAGCCGCCGCAGUAA